AUUGAACGCUGGCGGUGUGCCUAAUACAUGCAAGUCGAACGAGAAAGCCCUUCGGGGUUAGUAAAGUGGCGAACGGGUGAGUAACACGUGGGCAAUCUGCCCUUCGUUGGGGGACAACCGGGGGAAACCCCGGCUAAUACCCCGUAAGCUUGUCGGGUCGCAUGGCCUGACAAGGAGAGGUAGCUUCGGCCAUCCGGCGAAGGAGGAGCCCGCGGUACAUUAGCUAGUUGGUGAGGUAAAGGCCCACCAAGGCGACGAUGUAUAGCUGGUCUGAGGGGAAGAUCAGCCACACUGGGACUGAGACACGGCCCAGACUCCUACGGGAGGCAGCAGUCGGGAAUCUUGCACAAUGGGCGAAAGCCUGAUGCAGCAACGCCGUGUGAGCGACGAAGGCCCUAGGGUCGUAAAGCUCUGUUGUUAGGGACGAAGGGCGAAGGGUUAAUAGCCCUUAGCCUGUCGGUACCUUUCGAGGAAGCCCCGGCUAACUACGUGCCAGCCGCCGCGGUAA
rnacentral:rRNA from 1 species